rnacentral:sRNA from 1 species
AGCAUUAUUAGCCCGCGCAGGAUUUGAACCAGCGAAGCGGUUCGACGUCCGAGCAACGCGAGGCGAACGCACUUCAGUGCGGCCCGAAGGGCAAGGCGCAUAGCGCCGCAGUAAUCCAGCACGACCCAUCA